rnacentral:rRNA from 1 species
GAUGAACGCUAGCGGGAGGCCUAACACAUGCAAGCCGAGCGGUAUUUCUUCUUCGGGAGAGAGAGAGCGGCGUACGGGUGCGGAACACGUGUGCAACCUGCCUUUAUCUAGGGGAUAGCCUUUCGAAAGGAAGAUUAAUACUCUAUAAUAUAUUAAUUGGCAUCAAUUGAUAUUGAAAACUCCGGUGGAUAGAGAUGGGCACGCGCAAGAUUAGCUAGUUGGUGAGGUAACGGCUCACCAAGGCAAUGAUCUUUAGGGGGCCUGAGAGGGUGAUCCCCCACACUGGUACUGAGACACGGACCAGACUCCUACGGGAGGCAGCAGUGAGGAAUAUUGGUCAAUGGGUGCAAGCCUGAACCAGCCAUCCCGCGUGAAGGAUUAAGGUCCUAUGGAUUGUAAACUUCUUUUGUAUAGGGAUAAACCUACCCUCGUGAGGGUAGCUGAAGGUACUAUACGAAUAAGCACCGGCUAACUCCGUGCCAGCCGCCGCUGUAACAC